CAGUCGCCGCGGUAAUACGAAGGGUGCAAGCGUUAAUCGGAAUUACUGGGCGUAAAGCGUGCGUAGGCGGUUUGUUAAGUCUGUUGUGAAAUCCCCGGGCUCAACCUGGGAAUGGCAAUGGAUACUGGCUCGCUAGAGUGUGUCAGAGGAUGGUGGAAUUCCCGGUGUAGCGGUGAAAUGCGUAGAGAUCGGGAGGAACAUCAGUGGCGAAGGCGGCCAUCUGGGACAACACUGACGCUGAGGCACGAAAGCGUGGGGAGCAAACAGGAUUAGAUACCCGCGUAGUCCCUGUCUCUUAUAC
rnacentral:rRNA from 1 species